ensembl:lncRNA
AGGCGAGAGUAAGCUGAACACACUGCUCCAGAUGUGGCUUUAUGCGUGCUGAACAGAGUGCAGUAAUCGUGUCCCUUGACCUGCUGGUUAUGGCCUUGCUAAUGCAGUCCAAGACAGAUUUAUCUGUACUCAUCCGGUUUGUUGAAGUCUUCCAGAAUUGGAGCUCUUCUCAUCAGUAUUCUGACAGCCUCCCUUUGAUUUGAUUUUACCCUGUACUUCCUAAAGAUCUUAUCAUUCAGGUCAUGAAUGAAAACCAUUGAAGUCAUACCAUCCCCAAUCUUCUUCCCAGGGAUUGCCACUGGGAAUCACCUGCUAAUUGGACUUCAAACAUUUGUUAACUACUCUCUGAGUCAGUGAACUGGUCAGUUUUUAGCUAAUCUUGGAGUCCACCUAUCGAGCCUGUAUCUUCCAGUUUGGCUGCAAGAACUCUUUCAAAAGUCUUUCUGAAGACAAGAGGGACAACACUAACUACUCCAUCUUUCUCAGACAGCAUGUAAUUUAAUUGUAGAAGGCAAUCAGUGCGAUAAAACACAGUUUGCUCUUGGUAAGUUCAAGACGACCGUUCUCAAUCACAUACUUUGUCAUUGUGUGAAUGAGAAUGGCUUCUCUGAGUACUUGCUCCAUAACUUUCCCACAGACUGUGGUAAGGUUGGUCAGCCUGUAUUUUCUACGACAGACACUACAUUUUUAUAAUUGUCAGGAACCUCCUCUGACCACUGUGGCCUGAAGAAUGGAGAGAGAGUAGCCUUGCGUGACAUUUGCUGGCAGUCUAAACACUCGUGGAUGUAUGCUGUGCAGUCCCAUGCACCUGUAUUACAUUUACAGCUUAUUUGGCCACUAGCUUGAUCCUUGCUACUUGUUAUGGAGGUCUGAGAGGCCUGGGAGCAGAUCUUGCCAGUAGAAAUAGCCUUUCCAUAUACAGUACUGUGGUAAAGUGUGAUAAGGAUGGAUAUCUCUAUUGAAAUCCUUUCAGAAAUAAACACCUGCAUGCAAGUGUCUGAUGAAGACUCCUAGGGGAUGAACAUUGACGUUUUAUCAGCAGAGCACUAACUUAAGAAUACACAAGAAAUAUAACCCAUUUGUUACAGCAUUAUUUAGAACAGUACUGGAGGACAGUCAAAAGAAUGCUGAAAAACUGGUAGGACUUUCAAGCAGAACACAAGAUCUAGAAACCCAGUGUUAAAAUGUAAGGCUUUAUUUAAUUUGGUUUUUGUUUAUUUGGGAAAAGAUUAAGAAAUAACCUUGUACCAUCACAGUUUAGAAACAUCUUUAUUUAUUUAUUUAUUUAUUUAUUUUUCUCUCAUGUGCUAGCUCUUUAAGUUUCACAGGGGAAGAGCUUCCUAUCUUAGAACUGGAAUAAACCAACUAUAGAAGCAAAGUGGAGGGGGAUAACAGAAGGUAAAUGUAGUCCUCUAUAAAUUAAGUCAAGAAAGUAUGUUCAUGCGUGAAAGGAAUCGUGUCAAGGGAAGACUGGCUGGAAAGUCUCUCCAGCAUUUAUACUUAUGACUGAAGGAGCAUGGCUCUCCAUAGAACUGAGUUCUCAGGACCUCAUCUUUCGCGAUUAUACAUGUGGCACAUUGUGUUCAGUACAGAGACUGCACAAACUCAGCAGCUGUUUUCCUCAUUUCACAAAGUGUAUAGAAGAACUAAGGUGAGAUCAAGAAAGAGUAAUGAGGAUGAUUAAGGAUAUGAAAAAAGAUCUGUUUUGAAAGAUUAGUUUUUUUUUUUUUUUUAACCUUAGAAGGUUAAAAAAAGGUAUGCAGUAGAAUAAUUGUCUAGGUACAGUAAAUUAGAUGACUGUGUUCUCUGUCAUCUAACACAAGCACAGGAACAUCAAGGAAAAUUAAAAAGUAACAUUCAAAACUGAUAAAAUACAAGCUAUAAUUAUCUCUACUUAUAAAACUCGUAAUUAGAGUGUGGAAUUCACUGCCAAAUCACAAAGGCCAAGAAUGCAACAAGAUUAAAAAGAGUAUUGUAUUUUUAGGGAUAACAAGAAUAUUCAAGAGAUAUGGUUGGCUGAUAAAAAUAAGAGAAGGGCUAUUAGGUCUCAGUUUUCAAGGUGGAAACCAAAUUUCUGUUGACUAGAAUAGGUUGAUACUGAUACUGGCAAAUCAGUGAACAAGGAAUGUGAGUAAGGAGGAGAUAGUCCAGCUCUGCCUGCCCUCGAGCCUUUGUAUAGAGAGAUUCAGUGUGCUGGACUAUGUAGUUUGUAUAGUGAGGCAGUUCUUGAAGUGCUACGUUUGGCUGAUAUAAUUCUGCUUGUUUCAGUAGUGGUAUAAUUAAAAUGCUAUAAUAAUGUGGAAAAUGGAUCCCAAUAUUUUAUUCAAUUGAAUAAAGACAUGGGAUGAUUAUUUUUCAACUUGCAACCUAUGUACCAGUGGAUCCUCAUACAUAAGAAAUCCUACAUAUGUAAUAAAUAACAAGGAGAUCAGUAGGGAAUCCUUCCAUUAAACUUAGAUAAACACUGGAACAGAUGAUCUCUUAAGGUUCUCUGUAUGGGCUGAAGAAAAAGAACAUUGCUUCUGUGUCUGUCUGUAGUUUUAAAUAAAUGUU